AUUGAACGCUGGCGGCAGGCCUAACACAUGCAAGUCGAACGAGAGGCGGACGGGUGAGUAAUGUGUGGGAAACUGCGUGAUGGAGGGGGAUAACUACUGGAAACGGUAUCUAAUACCGCAUACCAUCAGAUGUGCCCAGCUGGGAUUAGCUAGUUGGUGGGGUAACGGCUCACCAUGGCGACGAUCCCUAGCUGGUCUGAGAGGGUGCCCAGCCACACUGGAACUGAGACAGGGCCCACACUCCUACGCGAGGCAGCAGUGGGGAAUAUUGCACAAUGGACGCAAGCCUGAUGCAGCCAUGCCGCGUGUAUGAAGAAGGCCUUCGGGUUGUAAAGUACUUUCAGCGGGGAGGCGUUACCCGCAGAAGAAGCACCGGCUAACUCCGUGCCAGCAGCCGCGGUAAUUC
rnacentral:rRNA from 1 species